rnacentral:tRNA from 1 species
GGGGAUUUAGCUGAGUGGUGCCGCCACCUGCCUUGAAAGCAGAAGGUCCCAAGUUUGAUCCCCGGUAUCCCCC